rnacentral:lncRNA from 1 species
GGAAUGGCUACUGCCUGUGAGAAAUAUACAACCUACUUGGCUUUGUAGAGUUAUUAGUAAUUCCUUCAUUCACAUAUUUAUUCAAUAAUGCUUUCAUUCAUUUUUUUGAGCUUCUAUUGCAUUUCAGAAAAUCACUGAAGAUUCGAAUGAGUACUCUCUGCACUGGGGCCAGUGUCAGCAGAAGGCUUCAUGGAGAAGGGAAAUUUAGACUUACAGGAGUAUGGGUUUGUAUAUGGAAAGAAGAAUUGAAAGGGCUGCCUGCCUCAGGCCAAAGGAGAAGCAGGUGUGGAGAGGAAGAGGCCAGGCAAGAUGAACCAUACCACAGGUGACAAUGAACUCAGGCAGAUGCCCAGACUCCACAUGAUUGUGGCGACGACUUGCUGCCACUUCAGAGAGAAUCAAGACAGAAG